GCUCAAAUUUGAAAUCUGGCCUCGGCCCGAGUUGUAAUUUGCAGAGGAUGCUUCUGGCGCGGUGCCUUCCGAGUUCCCUGGAACGGGACGCCACAGAGGGUGAGAGCCCCGUAUGGUCGGACACCAAGCCUGUGUGAAGCUCCUUCGACGAGUCGAGUAGUUUGGGAAUGCUGCUCUAAAUGGGAGGUAAAUCUCUUCUAAAGCUAAAUACCGGCCAGAGACCGAUAGCGCACAAGUAGAGUGAUCGAAAGAUGAAAAGCACCUUGAAAAGGGGGUUAAAUAGUACGUGAAAUUGUUGAAAGGGAAGCACUUGUGACCAGACUUGGGCCGGGCGGCUCAUCAGGGGUUCUCCCCUGUGCACUCCGCCCGGCACAGGCCAGCAUCGGUUCUCGUGGGGGGAUAAGACCGUCAGGAACGUAGCACCCUCCGGGGUGUGUUAUAGCCUGGCGGACGAUACCCCCGUGGGGACCGAGGUUCGCGCUCCGCAAGGAUGCUGGCGUAAUGGUCACCAGUGACCCGUCUUGAAACACGGACCAAGGAGUCGUCCAUUAGAGCGAGCGUUUGGGUGUAAAACCCGCACGCGUAAUGAAAGUGAACGCAGGUGAGAGCUUCGGCGCAUCAUCGACCGAUCCUGAUGUUCUCGGAAGGAUUUGAGUAAGAGUUUUAACGGACGGACCCGAAAGACAGUGAACUAUGCUUGUAUAGGGUGAAGCCAGAGGAAACUCUGGUGGAGGCUCGCAGCGGUUCUGACGUGCCAAUCGAUCGUCAAAUAUGAGCAUGGGGGCGAAAGACUAAUCGAACUGUCUAGUAGCUGGUUACCGCCGAAGUUUCCCUCAGGAUAGCAGUGUUGAUCUUCAGUUUUAUGAGGUAAAGCGAAUGAUUAGGGACUCGGGGGCGCUAUAUAGCCUUCAUCCAUUCUCAAACUUUAAAUAUGUAAGAAGC
rnacentral:rRNA from 1 species